UACACUCCUGCGGGAGGCAGCAGUGGGGAAUAUUGGACAAUGGGCGCAAGCCUGAUCCAGCCAUGCCGCGUGAGUGAUGAAGGCCCUAGGGUUGUAAAGCUCUUUCACCGGAGAAGAUAAUGACGGUAUCCGGAGAAGAAGCCCCGGCUAACUUCGUGCCAGCAGCCGCGGUAAUACGAAGGGGGCUAGCGUUGUUCGGAAUUACUGGGCGUAAAGCGCACGUAGGCGGAUCGAUCAGUCAGGGGUGAAAUCCCAGGGCUCAACCCUGGAACUGCCUUUGAUACUGUCGAUCUGGAGUAUGGAAGAGGUGAGUGGAAUUCCGAGUGUAGAGGUGAAAUUCGUAGAUAUUCGGAGGAACACCAGUGGCGAAGGCGGCUCACUGGUCCAUUACUGACGCUGAGGUGCGAAAGCGUGGGGAGCAAACAGGAUUAGAAACCCCGGUAGUCCCAUGAU
rnacentral:rRNA from 1 species